AAGCGAGCAGCCACCAAAUUGAAAGAGCAGCUGCACGGCUACUUCGAGUACAUCCUGUACGACGUCGGGGUCUACGGCUGCCAGGGCUGCUGCAGCUUCAAGUGUCUCAACAGCGGCCUCCUCUUUGCCAGCCGCUACCCCAUCAUGGACGUGGCCUAUCACUGUUACCCCAACAAGUGUAACGACGAUGCCCUGGCCUCUAAGGGAGCUCUGUUUCUCAAGACGGAGUUUCACUCUUGUUGUCCAGGCUGGAGUGCAGUGGCACGAUCUCGGCUCACCACAACCUCUGCCUCCCGGGUUCAAGCAAUUCUCCUGCCAUGGCCUCCCAAGUAGCUGGGAUUACAGACAUGCACCACCACGCCUGGCUAAUUUUUUAUUUUUAGUAGAGACGGAGUUUCACCGUGUUGGUCAGGGUGAUCUCAAACUCCCGACCUCAGGUGAUCUGCCCACCUCGGCCUCCCAAAGUGCUGGAAUUACAGGCGUGAGCCACCAUACCCAGCCUUGACCAAUAUGUUAAAAUCAAGAUAUUUCACAGAAAACCCGGUUUGCAGGUUCUCUCAGCAGCCCCAGGCCUGCCACAUU
rnacentral:lncRNA from 10 species